CAUGACACAAAACCGAGCGCAAUGGCGUUCUAGGAUUCAUAUAGCCGACCCCACUUAGUGGGAAAAGGCUUUGUUGUUGUUGUUGUUGUUGUUGUAUCUGCCUCACAUUCGAUGUCUUCAUGUCACAAAUUACUUUUCGAAGGUAAUGGAUUUUGUGGUUUCAUACUUUUCGAAGGUAAUGGAUUUUGUAUCUGCCGACAUUCACCUCUCCCAGACCCUGCGUAAAGCGGGAGCCUUGUGCACUGGGUACGACCUUUAUACUAUCAGUCAAUAAUCAGAUUUUGUGGCCAUCAGAAUUUGACUGUAAUUUCAUUAUCCUGUUUUCUGAACCUUUCUGUUCCAGUAUUUGGCCGUCGGAGUCUUGCCAGGAAAUCUACCUCAACCGUGUCUAUAUCUCAAUUUUUUUUCUAUACAUUUAAGCUUCAACGAUCUGAAAGAGAUUUUAACUGUUUUAUGUCUUCUGAGAAGCUUCCCUGCUCUACAGGAACUUGAAAUUUGGGCCCAGAAUGAGUACAAGGCUGUUGUGGGAGAAGUAAACUAUGGGUCGGAUGACAACCAGAAUUGCCAAUUGACCAAACUGCGAAUUGUCAAAAUAACCGGCAUCUUUGGUGUCAAAGCUGAACUAGAUUUCAUCAGGUUUUUGCUUUCAAGUUCACCUGUGCUUGAGAAGAUGACUGUGAAGCCUGCUGCUGCUAAUAAUUUUGAAGUAAAAAUGUUGCUCCAAAAGUUGCUCCAGUUUAAGCGUGUCUCGGCGAAUGCAGAGAUAUUCUACUUAGACCCUUGAUUCAUCAAUGAAACAUGUUUGGCAGAUACGAUACGAGGACUUGCCGGCAGAAACUGAAUGCGGGUUUUGAUAGUUUGGUACAAUUAUCUGCUAUGUAUGUGUCUUAUGUUUUGUCAAACGACGCCAAUAGAUAUCUCUUUUAUUCUUUUCCUAAUCUCAUGUUCAACUUGGACUAUGAUAUUAAAUUUUGACCCUAAGAUGUAUGAUGAAA